rnacentral:rRNA from 1 species
UACGUAGGGUGCGAGCGUUGUCCGGAAUUAUUGGGCGUAAAGAGCUCGUAGGCGGUUUGUCGCGUCGGCCGUGAGAACUUGGGGCUUAACCCCGAGCCUGCGGUCGAUACGGGCAGACUUGAGUUCGGCAGGGGAGACUGGAAUUCCUGGUGUAGCGGUGAAAUGCGCAGAUAUCAGGAGGAACACCGGUGGCGAAGGCGGGUCUCUGGGACGUUACUGGACGCUGAGACGCGAAAGCGUGGGGAGCAAACAGG